rnacentral:rRNA from 1 species
UUAGUCAGUGGGGGUAGACGCGAAACUUUGUGAUCUAUCCAUGGGCAGGGUGAAGGUUAGGUAAAACUAACUGGAGGCCCGAACUCAUUAGCGUUGAAAAGCUAUGGGAUGACCUGUGGAUAGGGGUGAAAGGCCAAUCAAACUGAGAGAUAGCUCGUUCUCCCCGAAAUGUUUUUAGGAACAGCCUUGGAUAUAGACGUGUUAUAGAGGUAGAGCUACUAAUUGGGCUAGGGGGCUUCACCGCCUACCAAACCCUAAUAAACUCCGAAUGCUAUAACAUAAUCUCCAGGAGUGAGGCUGUGGGCGCUAAGGUCCAUGGCCGAGAGGGAAAUAACCCAGACUAACAGCUAAGGUCCCUAAUGAUAUGUUAAGUUGAACAAACGCGGUUCAAAUCCUAAAACAGCCAGGAUGUUGGCUUGGAAGCAGCCAUUCAUUUAAAGAGUGCGUAACAGCUCACUGGUCGAGGGUUUGGGCACGGAAAAUAAUCGGGCAUCAAACAUAUAACCGAAGCUUUAGGCCUAGUAUGCAAAUACUAGACGGUAGGGGAGCAUUCUAAACUGCAUCGAAGGUGUGUUGCGAGACAUGCUGGAGCGUUUAGAAAAGAAAAUGUAGGCAUAAGUAACGAUAAAUAAGAUGAAAAAUCUUAUCGCCGUAAGACUAAGGGUUCCUGAUCAACGCUAAUCGGAUCAGGGUUAGUCGGGUCCUUAGGCAAAGCCGAGAGGUGAAGCUGAUGGCAAACUGGUGAAUAUUCCAGUACCUGCUAUAAAUUCGAUGGAGUAACGGAGUAGUGAAAGGAUCGCGCACUUACGGAAUAGUGCGUUAAAGGGUGUAGUUAUAUUCUUGGUAGGUAAAUCCGCCAGGGAUGAUGAACCUGAUAGUACAGCAAAGCUUCGGCCGCGCUGAUAGUAUCCCUAAUCAGACUUCCAAGAAAAACUUCUAAGGUUCGUUUAUAGCAGCCCGUACCGCAAACCGACACAGGUAGUCGAGAUGAGUAUUCUCAGGCGCUCGAGUGAUCCGUGGUAAAGGAACUAGGCAAAUUGACGCUGUAACUUCGGGAUAAGGCGUGCCACAGUGAUGUGGCCUCAGUAAAAUGGUACAACCAACUGUUUAACAAAAACACAGGGCCCUGCAAAAUCGAAAGAUGACGUAUAGAGCCUGAUACCUGCCCGGUGCUGGAAGGUUAAGGAAGGAUGUUCGGAGCAAUCCAAAGCUUCUGACUGAAGCCCCAGUAAACGGCGGCCGUAACUAUAACGGUCCUAAGGUAGCGAAAUUCCUUGUCGGGUAAGUUCCGACCUGCACGAAUGGUCUAAUGAGUUGUACACUGUCUCUACCACGAGCUCGGUGAAAUUGUAGUAUCGGUGAAGAUGCCGGUUAAUCGCAACGGGACGGAAAGACCCCGUGAACCUUCACUACAACUUAACAUUGAUUUUGAAUGCCAGAUGUGUAGGAUAGUUGGGAGACUAUGAAGCAGGUUCGCCAGGAUUUGUGGAGUCAUCGUUGAAAUACCAACCUUCUGUUAUUUAGAGUCUAAUCCGGCAACGGAGACAUUGUUUGGUGGGUAGUUUGACUGGGGUGGUCGCCUCCUAAAAGGUAACGGAGGCUCGCAAAGGUACCCUCAGUACGGUUGGUAAUCGUACGCAGAGCGCAUUAGUAUAAGGGUGCUUGACUGUGAGGCAAACAAGCCGAGCAGGUGCGAAAGCAGGCUAAAGUGAUCCGGUGGUUCUGUAUGGAAGGGCCAUCGCUCAAAGGAUAAAAGGUACUCCGGGGAUAACAGGCUGAUCUCACCCAAGAGCUCAUAUCGACGGUGAGGUUUGGCACCUCGAUGUCGGUUCGUCACAUCCUGGGGCUGGAGAAGGUCCCAAGGGUUCGGCUGUUCGCCGAUUAAAGUGGCACGUGAACUGGGUUCAGAACGUCGCAAGACAGUUCGGUCCCUAUCUGUUGUGAUCGUUAGUAAAUUGAGAGGACAUGACCUUAGUACGAGAGGACCGGGUCGUACGUACCGCUGGUGUAUCUGUUGUGCCGCCAGGUGCAGUGCAGAGUAGCUAUGUACGGAUAGGAUAAACGCUGAAAGCAUCUAAGCGUGAAACCUGCUUCAAGAUGAGUUUACUUUUAAGGGCCGUCGCAGACUACGACGUUGAUAGGUUACAGGUGUAAGGGUGGUAACAUCGCAGCCGAGUAAUACUAAUUGCCCGUAAGCUUUAAUUUU